UGUUUAGCAGAGAGAAGGGUGUACGCUUCACCUUAGAAUUAUUUAGCUCUGGGACAGGAAGUAUGUUUGGUCCCAGAAUUGUUUAACUUGGGGAAAAGAAAAUAUGCCUGCUCCCAGUACUGUUUAAUAAAGGGACAGGGAAAAACUUAGAAUGCAAUUCUCACAUCAAAAGGCUCAAAUGCUCCUUUAAAAAAAAAAAAAAACCUUUUAUCUUUGGCCUUUUUAACCAUCUCAUACAAACCAACUACUUGUGGUACAGCUAAGU
rnacentral:lncRNA from 10 species